UGGGGAAUAUUGGACAAUGGGCGAAAGCCUGAUCCAGCCAUGCCGCGUGUGUGAAGAAGGUCUUCGGAUUGUAAAGCACUUUAAGUUGGGAGGAAGGGCAGUUACCUAAUACGUGAUUGUUUUGACGUUACCGACAGAAUAAGCACCGGCUAACUCUGUGCCAGCAGCCGCGGUAAUACAGAGGGUGCAAGCGUUAAUCGGAAUUACUGGGCGUAAAGCGCGCGUAGGUGGUUAGUUAAGUUGGAUGUGAAAUCCCCGGGCUCAACCUGGGAACUGCAUUCAAAACUGACUGACUAGAGUAUGGUAGAGGGUGGUGGAAUUUCCUGUGUAGCGGUGAAAUGCGUAGAUAUAGGAAGGAACACCAGUGGCGAAGGCGACCACCCGGACUGAUACUGACACUGAGGUGCGAAAGCGUGGGGAGCAAACAGGAUUAGAUACCCGAGUAGUCCCUGAGCGGGCUGGCAAGGCGCAU
rnacentral:rRNA from 1 species